rnacentral:rRNA from 1 species
GAUGAACGCUGGCGGCGUGCCUAAUACAUGCAAGUAGAACGCUGAAGCUUGGUGCUUGCACCGAGCGGAUGAGUUGCGAACGGGUGAGUAACGCGUAGGUAACCUGCCUCUUAGCGGGGGAUAACUAUUGGAAACGAUAGCUAAUACCGCAUAAAAGACGAUAUCGCAUGAUAUUGAUUUGAAAGAUGCAAUUGCAUCACUAAGAGAUGGACCUGCGUUGAAUUAGCUAGUUGGUGAGGUAACGGCUCACCAAGGCGACGAUACAUAGCCGACCUGAGAGGGUGAUCGGCCACACUGGGACUGAGACACGGCCCAGACUCCUACGGGAGGCAGCAGUAGGGAAUCUUCGGCAAUGGGGGCAACCCUGACCGAGCAACGCCGCGUGAGUGAAGAAGGUUUUCGGAUCGUAAAGCUCUGUUGUAAGAGAAGAACGAGUGUGAGAGUGGAAAGUUCACACUGUGACGGUAACUUACCAGAAAGG